UACGUAGGCAGCGAGCGUUGUUCGGAAUUACUGGGCGUAAAGCGCACGUAGGCGGCUUCUUAAGUCUGAGGUGAAAUCCUGGAGCUCAACUCCAGAACUGCCUUCGAUACUGGGAAGCUCGAGUCCGGGAGAGGUGAGUGGAACUGCGAGUGUAGAGGUGAAAUUCGUAGAUAUUCGCAAGAACACCAGUGGCGAAGGCGGCUCACUGGCCCGGUACUGACGCUGAGGUGCGAAAGCGUGGGGAGCAAACAGG
rnacentral:rRNA from 1 species